AGUGAACGCUGGCGGUAGGCCUAACACAUGCAAGUCGAACGGCAGCACAGAGGAGCUUGCUCCUUGGGUGGCGAGUGGCGGACGGGUGAGGAAUACAUCGGAAUCGACUCUGUCGUGGGGGAUAGCGUAGGGAAACUUACGCUAAUACCGCAUACGACCUACGGGUGAAAGCAGGGGACCUCCGGGCCUUGCGCGAUUGAAUGGGUCGAUGUCGGAUUAGCUAGUUGGCGGGGUAAAGGCCCACCAAGGCGACGAUCCGUAGCUGGUCUGAGAGGAUGAUCAGCCACACUGGAACUGAGACACGGUCCAGACUCCUACGGGAGGCAGCAGUGGGGAAUAUUGGACAAUGGGCGCAAGCCUGAUCCAGCCAUACCGCGUGGGUGAAGAAGGCCUUCGGGUUGUAAAGCCCUUUUGUUGGGAAAGAAAUCCAGCUGGCUAAUACCCGGUUGGGAUGACGGUACCCAAAGAAUAAGCACCGGCUAACUUCGUGCCAGCCGCCGCAGUAA
rnacentral:rRNA from 1 species